rnacentral:misc_RNA from 1 species
CUGAUUUACAGUUUCAACAAGUAAGAACUAAAGUAGAUUUUUUUUUUGAAAUAGUAAGAAGUAAAGUUAUUUUUACUGUAACUUGCAUUUCUCAUAUUUGGAUAUUGGAUCUGGAAUUCCUGAUAUUUCUAUAAAAUUUAAGGGUUAGCAUUACUAGUAGGCUCUCAACUCUUAAUAUUAUUAGCUCAGAAAGGCUUGCUGAAAGAUUGGGACAAGACUGAGUCCUACUGGAUCUUUGGCUCAUGGAGUUGCGUCAAAAUUAAGCUCACCUUGAGCUCUGCAUGUUUGUGACAGAGCCCGGUCUGAAAUCAGAUAGCUAUUGGCUUGCCUUGGGUUGGCUUGUUUGCAGUCUUUAGCAUGUAGCAUAUUAGCUGAUAAAGGCUCUCUCUCUCUCUCUCU